rnacentral:rRNA from 1 species
UACAGAGGUCUCAACCGUUGUUCGGAUUCAUUGGGCGUAAAGGGUGCGUAGGCGGUCGGGUAAGUCGGAUGUGAAAUCUCAGGGCUCAACCCUGAAACUGCAUUCGAUACUGCCAGGCUAGGGUACUGGAGAGGAGACUGGAAUUUACGGUGUAGCAGUGAAAUGCGUAGAUAUCGUAAGGAAGACCAGUGGCGAAGGCGAGUCUCUGGACAGUUACCGACGCUGAGGCACGAAGGUCAGGGGAGCAAACGGG